rnacentral:rRNA from 1 species
GGGUUGUGAGGUUAAGCGACUAAGCGUACACGGUGGAUGCCCUGGCAGUCAGAGGCGAUGAAGGGCGUGCUAAUCUGCGAUAAGCGCCGGUAAGGUGAUAUGAACCGUUAUAACCGGCGAUACCCGAAUGGGGAAACCCAGUGUGAUUCGUCACACUAUCAUUAACUGAAUCCAUAGGUUAAUGAGGCGAACCGGGGGAACUGAAACAUCUAAGUACCCCGAGGAAAAGAAAUCAACCGAGAUUCCCCCAGUAGCGGCGAGCGAACGGGGAGGAGCCCAGAGCCUGAAUCAGCAUGUGUGUUAGUGGAAGCGUCUGGAAAGGCGCGCGAUACAGGGUGACAGCCCCGUACACAAAAGCGCAUGUGCUGUGAGCUCGAUGAGUAGGGCGGGACACGUGGUAUCCUGUCUGAAUAUGGGGGGACCAUCCUCCAAGGCUAAAUACUCCUGACUGACCGAUAGUGAACCAGUACCGUGAGGGAAAGGCGAAAAGAACCCCGGCGAGGGGAGUGAAAAAGAACCUGAAACCGUGUACGUACAAGCAGUGGGAGCACAGGUUUACCUGUGUGACUGCGUACCUUUUGUAUAAUGGGUCAGCGACUUAUAUUCUGUAGCAAGGUUAACCGCAUAGGGGAGCCGGAGGGAAACCGAGUCUUAAUUGGGCGUUAAGUUGCAGGGUAUAGACCCGAAACCCGGUGAUCUAGCCAUGGGCAGGUUGAAGGUUGGGUAACACUAACUGGAGGACCGAACCGACUAAUGUUGAAAAAUUAGCGGAUGACCUGUGGCUGGGGGUGAAAGGCCAAUCAAACCGGGAGAUAGCUGGUUCUCCCCGAAAGCUAUUUAGGUAGCGCCUCGUGAAUUCAUCUCCGGGGGUAGAGCACUGUUUCGGCUAGGGGGCCAUCCCGGCUUACCAACCCGAUGCAAACUGCGAAUACCGGAGAAUGUUAUCACGGGAGACACACGGCGGGUGCUAACGUCCGUCGUGAAGAGGGAAACAACCCAGACCGCCAGCUAAGGUCCCAAAGUCAUGGUUAAGUGGGAAACGAUGUGGGAAGGCCCAGACAGCCAGGAUGUUGGCUUAGAAGCAGCCAUCAUUUAAAGAAAGCGUAAUAGCUCACUGGUCGAGUCGGCCUGCGCGGAAGAUGUAACGGGGCUAAACCAUGCACCGAAGCUGCGGCAGCGACGCUUAUGCGUUGUUGGGUAGGGGAGCGUUCUGUAAGCCUGUGAAGGUGGCCUGUGAGGGUUGCUGGAGGUAUCAGAAGUGCGAAUGCUGACAUAAGUAACGAUAAAGCGGGUGAAAAGCCCGCUCGCCGGAAGACCAAGGGUUCCUGUCCAACGUUAAUCGGGGCAGGGUGAGUCGACCCCUAAGGCGAGGCCGAAAGGCGUAGUCGAUGGGAAACGGGUUAAUAUUCCCGUACUUGGUGUUACUGCGAAGGGGGGACGGAGAAGGCUAUGUUGGCCGGGCGACGGUUGUCCCGGUUUAAGCGUGUAGGUGUGUGUUCCAGGUAAAUCCGGUUCACUUUAACACUGAGGCGUGACGACGAGGCACUACGGUGCUGAAGCAACAAAUGCCCUGCUUCCAGGAAAAGCCUCUAAGCAUCAGGUAACAUCAAAUCGUACCCCAAACCGACACAGGUGGUCAGGUAGAGAAUACCAAGGCGCUUGAGAGAACUCGGGUGAAGGAACUAGGCAAAAUGGUGCCGUAACUUCGGGAGAAGGCACGCUGACACGUAGGUGAAGUGAUUUACUCAUGGAGCUGAAGUCAGUCGAAGAUACCAGCUGGCUGCAACUGUUUAUUAAAAACACAGCACUGUGCAAACACGAAAGUGGACGUAUACGGUGUGACGCCUGCCCGGUGCCGGAAGGUUAAUUGAUGGGGUCAGCGCAAGCGAAGCUCCUGAUCGAAGCCCCGGUAAACGGCGGCCGUAACUAUAACGGUCCUAAGGUAGCGAAAUUCCUUGUCGGGUAAGUUCCGACCUGCACGAAUGGCGUAAUGAUGGCCAGGCUGUCUCCACCCGAGACUCAGUGAAAUUGAACUCGCUGUGAAGAUGCAGUGUACCCGCGGCAAGACGGAAAGACCCCGUGAACCUUUACUAUAGCUUGACACUGAACAUUGAGCCUUGAUGUGUAGGAUAGGUGGGAGGCUUUGAAGCGUGGACGCCAGUCUGCAUGGAGCCGACCUUGAAAUACCACCCUUUAAUGUUUGAUGUUCUAACGUGGACCCGUGAUCCGGGUUGCGGACAGUGUCUGGUGGGUAGUUUGACUGGGGCGGUCUCCUCCUAAAGAGUAACGGAGGAGCACGAAGGUUGGCUAAUCCUGGUCGGACAUCAGGAGGUUAGUGCAAUGGCAUAAGCCAGCUUGACUGCGAGCGUGACGGCGCGAGCAGGUGCGAAAGCAGGUCAUAGUGAUCCGGUGGUUCUGAAUGGAAGGGCCAUCGCUCAACGGAUAAAAGGUACUCCGGGGAUAACAGGCUGAUACCGCCCAAGAGUUCAUAUCGACGGCGGUGUUUGGCACCUCGAUGUCGGCUCAUCACAUCCUGGGGCUGAAGUAGGUCCCAAGGGUAUGGCUGUUCGCCAUUUAAAGUGGUACGCGAGCUGGGUUUAGAACGUCGUGAGACAGUUCGGUCCCUAUCUGCCGUGGGCGCUGGAGAACUGAGGGGGGCUGCUCCUAGUACGAGAGGACCGGAGUGGACGCAUCACUGGUGUUCGGGUUGUCAUGCCAAUGGCACUGCCCGGUAGCUAAAUGCGGAAGAGAUAAGUGCUGAAAGCAUCUAAGCACGAAACUUGCCCCGAGAUGAGUUCUCCCUGAGACUUAGAGUCUCCUGAAGGAACGUUGAAGACGACGACGUUGAUAGGCCGGGUGUGUAAGCGCAGCGAUGCGUUGAGCUAACCGGUACUAAUGAACCGUGAGGCUUAACCUUACAACGCCGAAG